rnacentral:rRNA from 1 species
UAGCAAGUCGAACGAGAGGGCCCAAGGAGAGAGAAGAAAUGGAAAGUGCUUGCACUGGAAAUGGAAAGCUUUCGAAUUGGAAUUUCCCUCGAGUGGCAAACGGGUGAGUAACACGUGGGUUACCUACCUCUAUGAUGGGGAUAACAGUUGGAAACGAUUGCUAAUACCGAAUGUGCUCUACGGAGUAAAGAAGCCCUUAAAGCUUCGCAUAGAGAUGGGCCUGCGGUGCAUUAGCUAGUUGGUGGGGUAAUGGCCUACCAAGGCAGCGAUGCAUAGCCGAGCUGAGAGGUUGAUCGGCCACACUGGGACUGAGACACGGCCCAGACUCCUACGGGAGACAGCAGUUAGGAAUAUUCGUCAAUGGGGGAAACCCUGAACGAGCAAUGCCGCGUGUGCGAAGAAGGCCCUAUGGGUUGUAAAGCACUGUUGUUUGGAACGAAAACUUAUGAUAGGAAAUGAUCAUAAACUGACGGUACCAUUCAAGAAAGCCACGGCUAACUACGUG